GUGAGAUGUGUAUAAGAGACAGGUGAGUCAUCGAAUCUUUGAACGCACAUUGCGCCCCUUGGUAUUCCGAGGGGCAUGCCUGUUCGAGCGUCAUUAUAACCCUUCAAGCUCAGCUUGGUGUUGGGGCCUGCCGCACAGGCAGCCCUUAAAAUCAGUGGCGGUGCUAUCUGGCUCUAAGCGUAGUAAUUCUCCUCGCUAUAGAGUCCCGGUGGAUGCUUGCCAUUAACCCCCAAUUUUCUAUGGUUGACCUCGGAUCAGGUAGGGAUACCCGCUGAACUUAAGCAUAUCAAUAAGCGGAGG
rnacentral:misc_RNA from 1 species